UACGUAGGGUGCAAGCGUUGUCCGGAAUUAUUGGGCGUAAAGAGCUCGUAGGCGGUUUGUCGCGUCUGCUGUGAAAACCGGAGGCUCAACCUCCGGCCUGCAGUGGGUACGGGCAGACUAGAGUGCGGUAGGGGAGAUUGGAAUUCCUGGUGUAGCGGUGGAAUGCGCAGAUAUCAGGAGGAACACCGAUGGCGAAGGCGGCAUCCUGGACCGAUACUGACGCUGAGGAGCGAAAGCCAGGGGAGCAAACGGG
rnacentral:rRNA from 1 species